GGAUGCUUUGGAGAUGUUGUAAUCCCUUUUUGUUGGAAGUUUCUCUCACAUUUUCAAGAAAGCAAGAGGCUUCAAAAUGGUCAGCAAUGGAAUUAUAGACUGCGACAGCAAGU
rnacentral:pre_miRNA from 1 species